rnacentral:rRNA from 1 species
CCUACGGGUGGCAGCAGUGAGGAAUAUUGGUCAAUGGGCGCAAGCCUGAACCAGCCAAGUCGCGUGAGGGAAGACGGCCCUACGGGUUGUAAACCUCUUUUGCCGGGGAGCAAGCCUGAGCACGUGUGCCCAGGCGGAGAGUACCCGGAGAAAAAGCAUCGGCUAACUCCGUGCCAGCAGCCGCGGUAAUACGGAGGAUGCGAGCGUUAUCCGGAUUUAUUGGGUUUAAAGGGUGCGUAGGCGGGCUUUUAAGUCAGCGGUAAAAAUUCGGGGCUCAACCCCGUCCGGCCGUUGAAACUGGGGGCCUUGAGUGGGCGAGAAGAAGGCGGAAUGCGUGGUGUAGCGGUGAAAUGCAUAGAUAUCACGCAGAACCCCGAUUGCGAAGGCAGCCUUCCGGCGCCCUACUGACGCUGAGGCACGAAAGUGCGGGGAUCGAACAGGAUUAGAUACCCCUGUAGUC